rnacentral:rRNA from 1 species
GAUGAACGCUGGCGGCGUGCCUAAUACAUGCAAGUCGAGCGAACGGACGAGAAGCUUGCUUCUCUGAUGUUAGCGGCGGACGGGUGAGUAACACGUGGAUAACCUACCUAUAAGACUGGGAUAACUUCGGGAAACCGGAGCUAAUACCGGAUAAUAUUUUGAACCGCAUGGUUCAAAAGUGAAAGACGGUCUUGCUGUCACUUAUAGAUGGAUCCGCGCUGCAUUAGCUAGUUGGUAAGGUAACGGCUUACCAAGGCAACGAUGCAUAGCCGACCUGAGAGGGUGAUCGGCCACACUGGAACUGAGACACGGUCCAGACUCCUACGGGAGGCAGCAGUAGGGAAUCUUCCGCACAGGGCGAAAGCCUGACGGAGCAACGCCGCGUGAGUGAUGAAGGUCUUCGGAUCGUAAAACUCUGUUAUUAGGGAAGAACAUAUGUGUAAGUAACUGUGCACAUCUUGACGGUACCUAAUCAGAAAGCCACGGCUAACUACGUG